UUCCGGUUGAUCCUGCCGGACCCGACUGCUAUCAGAGUGAGAUUAAGCCAUGCGAGUUAACGUAGCAAUACGUGGCGCACGGCUCAGUAACACGUAGUCAACAUGCCCAGAGGACGUGGAUAACCUCGGGAAACUGAGUCUAAACCGCGAUAAGUGAGGAUUUCUGGAAUGGUUCCUGACUAAAAUCUAUAUGGCCUCUGGAUUGGACUGCGGCCGAUCAGGCUGUUGGUGAGGUAAUGGCCCACCAAACCUGUAACCGGUACGGGCUCUGAGAGGAGGAGCCCGGAGAUGGGCACUGAGACAAGGGCCCAGGCCCUAUGGGGCGCAGCAGGCGCGAAACCUCUGCAAUAGGCGAAAGCCUGACAGGGUUACUCUGAGUGACCUUCGCUAAGAAAGUCUUUUGGCACCUCUAAAAAGGGUGCAGAAUAAGGGGUGGGCAAGUCUGGUGUCAGCCGCCGCGGUAAUACCAGCACCCUGAGUGGUCGGGACGAUUAUUGGGCCUAAAGCAUCCGUAGCCGGUUCUGCAAGUCCCCCGUUAAAUCCAGCUGCUCAACAGAUGGGCCGCGGAGGAUACUACAGAGCUAGGAGGCAGGAGAGGCAAGCGGUACUCAGUGGGUAGGGGUAAAAUCCGUUGAUCCAUUGAAGACCACCAGUGGCGAAGGCGGCUUGCCAGAAUACGCUCGACGGUGAGGGAUGAAAGCUGGGGGAGCAAACCGGAUUAGAUACCCGGGUAGUCCCAG
rnacentral:rRNA from 1 species